AAAGAAGAAAAAGCCCUAAUCUUUUAAUUCUCUAGUCUCUACCAGUUGGCUUCUCUGGAUCUCACUCAAACUCAGCCUCUCAAUCGUUUUUCUCUCACGCUCACGCUCACCCGCUCGAUCUAUUCUCUCUCACACUCAGCCCCCUUGAUCCGUUCUCUCACUCAGCCUCUGCAAGAACUCAGCCUCUCCAAGAACUCAGCUCUCGUCUUUCUCUCCAUAACGUCGAGUUGCUCUCCUUCCCACCCAGCCUCGACAAGAACCAGGCGACUCCGCCGAUGCAAGAACCAGGCCACCAUGGGGUAAACUAGGCAGAUCUCCAAUUGUUUAUGAGAUUCUUCUACCACAAUGCUUAUAGAUGGUUUCCUGCAUAUGGGUUAGUUAAUAUCUUGUUCUAAAGGAGGGUUAAUUAUGAUGGAAUAUGUCAAAGAGAAGGUUAAGGAGAAGUCACUGGUUGCAGACAUAACGAGGAAAAUCAGAGGAAACGGAAACACAGAAAAAUAGCAAAAAGUAUAAGUGAUCUAUAAAUUAGAGGAACAACCUCAUCAAAUUUUGUUCAUCGAAGAAGGUGUAGAGGAGAAUAAUACUGAUACUGGUGAAGGAACUGGUGAUGAUGAAUGCAUCUCUAUUAUUAAUGAACGAAACAUAGAAAAUGUAGGUUCUUUGCACUUGCAAGAUCAGUGUUAGUUCAAUAUAUUCGAAUUGGGAUACAUUCAGGAUGAGUGGACAUUAGAUUGUGCUGAGGCAGGGGAGCUAGAGGACAGAGCACAUUAUCGCCAGGCCGGUGAAAGCAGUGUACCUGAAACUUAAGAUACAAAUGACAAGUGUCUCUUCACACAUUAAGCGAAAGACCGAAAGGAAUGAAAAAAUUUCAAGUGGAAAAUAGUCAAUUGCCCUCGUCAAACAUCGUCAGUAGAGUGCGGCUUUUAUAUCAUAAGGAUGAUGAAAGACUAUUGCUUGAAUGAGAUACACAUGCGAUGGCUAACUAGUAAUUGUGGUGGGAAGAAUACAUAUACACUAGGCGAAAUUAAUGAAA